rnacentral:rRNA from 1 species
CAUGUAGGCGGCGCGUCUAGUGCAUGGUGAAAGCCCACGGCUCACCCGCGGAAUUGCUGUGCAUACUGGCGUGCUCGAGGACGGUAGGGGAGAGCGGAACUCUUGGUGGAGCGGUGAAAUGCGUAGAUAUCAAGAGGAACACCAAAGGCGAAGGCAGCUCUCUGGUCCGUUUCUGACGCUGAGGUGCGAAAGCCAGGGUAGCGAACG